CUUUUCCCCUUCCUCCUUGGGCUAAGCCAGACCAGAAAGGGCCCCGUGCGCAACGUGCUUCACAAUCUCUCAGGGAAAGCGGCUAACGUGGCGCUACUCCGCCUCCCCUGUUCCUUACCCUUGGGGCGGCCGCCAUGUUUCCUGAACACAAAAUGGCGACACGUGAGGAAGACAAACAUAAAGAUGAAGUGCUUAAUUCAAGGUCACACAAUGUCGGGGAUGGACCUCCAGAUUUCCUUACUGGUGAGACGUGGUCUUGUAACACAGUGGUUAAGAAUGUGACUUUGGAGCCAGCCUGCUAGGGGCUGAAUUCUGACUCAGCCAUUUACUAACUGUGUGACCUUAGGUCACAGAAUUUUCCACACUCCUUGACAGAGGUGCUUAACCCUUAUCCAUCAGCAUUCUCAGACAGCACCUCCGGUUAGGGACAGUAUCUGACCGUCCGACAUCCCUGCAGCCCCCAUGUGUCACACAGACUCAGCCUCAGGUAGAUGGUUUCCGUAGAUGGUGGCUUUCUUUGGACCCUUGACAUCAACCAGUUACUAUUUGACUCUUCUGCAGAACCCCAUGUUGACCCCUGCUUUGAGGUGGCAGAGUUAACACUACUCUUCGUUAUAAGCUCUCGUCUGGGGCAACUCAGAAGAACGGGACCAGAUGUGCAGAGGUAAUGAAUACCAGGGAAUCAGGAAACCACUGGAUCAGUUCUUU
rnacentral:lncRNA from 10 species